rnacentral:tRNA from 1 species
GCCUCCGUAGCUCAAAUGGCUAGAGCAGCCGUCUCGUAAGCGGCAGGUUAUGAGUUCAAGUCUCAUCGGUGGCU